rnacentral:rRNA from 1 species
UACGUAGGUGGCGAGCGUUGUCCGGAAUUACUGGGUGUAAAGGGCGUGUAGGCGGGAUAAUAAGUCAGAUGUGAAAUUCCGAGGCUUAACCUCGGAGCUGCAACUGAAACUGUAAUUCUUGAGUGCUGGAGAGGAUAGUGGAAUUCCUAGUGUAGCGGUGAAAUGCGUAGAUAUUAGGAGGAACACCAGUGGCGAAGGCGGCUAUCUGGACAGUAACUGACGCUGAGGCGCGAAAGCGUGGGGAGCAAACAGG